rnacentral:rRNA from 1 species
AUUGAACGCUGGCGGCAGGCCUAACACAUGCAAGUCGAGCGGAGCGGCGGACGGGUGAGUAAUGCCUAGGAAUCUGCCUGGUAGUGGGGGAUAAUGUUCGGAAAUGGGCGCUUAUACCGCAUACUAUCAGAUGAGCCUAGGGCGGCUUAGCUAGGUGGUGGGGUAAAGGCCUACCAAGGCGACGAUCCGUAACUGGUCUGAGAGGAUGAUCAGUCAAACUGGAACUGAGACACGGGCCAGACUCCUACGGGAGGCAGCAGUGGGGAAUAUUGGACAAUGGGCGAAAGCCUGAUCCAGCCAUGCCGCGUGUGUGAAGAAGGUCUUCGGAUUGUAAAGCACUGUAAGUUGGGAGGCGUUACCAACAUAAUAAGCACCGGCUAACUUCGUGCCAGCAGCCGCGGUAAUUC